rnacentral:rRNA from 1 species
AGGACGAACGCUGGCGGCGUGCCUAAUACAUGCAAGUCUAAGGGGUGCAUACCCUUCGGGGUAUGUAUCACUGGCGCACGGGUGAGUAACGCGUAAGCUAUCUGCCCCUGGGUCUGGCAUAACCUCGGGAAACCGGGACUAAUUCCAGAUGAUACCGAAAGGUCAAAGCUUCGGCGCCCAGGGAUGAGCUUGCGUCUGAUUAGCUUGUUGGCGGGGUAAUGGCCCACCAAGGCUACGAUCAGUAGCCGGUCUGAGAGGAUGAUCGGCCACAUUGGGACUGAGACACGGCCCAGACUCCGUACGGGAGCAGCAGUAAGAAUAUUGCGCAAUGGAC